AUUCCUCAUGGAAGCAGUUUAAUCCCAUUGAGCCGGAUUGAUUCUGCCGGCUCUACUCUUCUGAAUCCUUUCAGUUUUCCAGAAUAUCCAAGGAUGCAAUGCAUGUAAAUUUGUGUGACUGAGGAGAGCCUCCAUGCGAUCUCCAGAAGCAUAGUUGUGUUAUCUGCAGUUUUCUGGCAGACAUAAUCCUUUUCUUUGUAGCAUAACCUUUUUGAAGAUCUAAAAGUAGUUGCAUAGUCC